rnacentral:rRNA from 1 species
GACGAACGCUGGCGGCGUGCUUAACACAUGCAAGUCGAACGAGCCGCGGACGGGUGAGUAAUGUCUGGGAAACUGCCCGAGGGAGGGCGAUAACUACUGGAAACGGUAGCUAAUAACGCAUACCAUCAGAUGUGCCCAGAUGGGAUUUGCUAGUAGGUGGGGUAAUGGAUCACCUAGGCGACGAACCCUAGCUGGUCUGAGAGGAUGACCAGCCAAACUGGAACUGAGACACGGUCCAGACUCCUACGGGAGGCAGCAGUGGGGAAUAUUGCACAAUGGGGGAAAGCCUGAUGCAGCCAUGCCGCGUGUAUGAAGAAGGCCUUCGGGUUUUAAAGUACUUUCAGCGAGGAGGCGUUACUCGCAGAAGAAGCACCGGCUAACUCCGUGCCAGCAGCCGCGGUAAUUC